GAUCCUGGCUCAGAUUGAACGCUGGCGGCAUGCCUUACACAUGCAAGUCGAACGGCAGCAUGGAGAGCUUGCUCUCUGAUGGCGAGUGGCGAACGGGGUGAGUAAUACAUCGGAACGUGUCCGUUUGUGGGGGACAACCGUCCGAAAGGAUGGCUAAUACCGCAUGAGACCUGAGGGUGAAAGCCGGGGACCGCAAGGCCCGGCGCAGACGGAGCGGCCGAUGAUUGAUUAG
rnacentral:rRNA from 1 species